rnacentral:miRNA from 1 species
AUUCAGAUGAUAGCAACAAAGAGC